rnacentral:ncRNA from 17 species
CAACAACCGUUGGGGUGCCCGAUUCAGGGCUGAGAGGCGCACUGUGCCGACCCAUGGAACCUGAUCCGGGCAAUACCGGCGUAGGGAACGGUCAUCGUGGCAAU